rnacentral:rRNA from 1 species
GAUGAACGCUGGCGGCGUGCCUAACACAUGCAAGUCGAGCGAGAAAUAAAGGAAUGAAGCUUCGGUAGAUUUUCUUUAUGGAAAGCGGCGGACGGGUGAGUAACGCGUAGGCAACCUGCCCUGUACAGGGGGAUAGCCACCCGAAAAGGUGAUUAAUACCCCAUAACGCAAGAGAUACACAUGUAUCACUUGUCAAAGAUUUAUCGGUAUAGGAUGGGCCUGCGUCUGAUUAGCUAGUUGGUAGGGUAACGGCUUACCAAGGCAACGAUCAGUAGCCGACCUGAGAGGGUGAUCGGCCACAUUGGAACUGAGACGCGGUCCAAACUCCUACGGGAGGCAGCAGUGGGGAAUAUUGCACAAUGGGCGCAAGCCUGAUGCAGCAACGCCGCGUGAAGGAUGAAGGCCUUCGGGUUGUAAAUUUCUGUCCUAGGGGAAGAAACAAAUGACAUUACCCUUGGAGGAAGCCCCGGCUAA